GACGAACGCUGGCGGCGUGCUUAACACAUGCAAGUCGAGCGGUAAGGCCCUUUCGGGGGUACGACGAGCGGCGAACGGGUAGAGUAACACGUGGGUGACCUGCCCUCAGCUCUGGGAUAAGCCUGGGAAACCGGGUCUAAUACCGGAUAUGACUCCAUGACGCAUGUUGUGGGGUGGAAAGCCUUGUGCGGCUGAGGAUGGGCCCGCGGCCUAUCAGCUUGUUGGUGGGGUGAUGGCCUACCAAGGCGACGACGGGUAGCCGGCCUGAGAGGGCGACCGGCCACACUGGGACUGAGACACGGCCCAGACUCCUACGGGAGGCAGCAGUGGGGAAUCUUGCGCAAUGGGCGAAAGCCUGACGCAGCGACGCCGCGUGAGGGAUGACGGCCU
rnacentral:rRNA from 1 species